rnacentral:rRNA from 1 species
CGACCGGCGCACGGGUGCGUAACGCGUAUGCAACCUACCCAUAACAGGGGGAUAACACUGAGAAAUUGGUACUAAUACCCCAUAACAUCAGGACCGGCAUCGGUUCUGGUUGAAAACUCCGGUGGUUAUGGAUGGGCAUGCGUUGUAUUAGCUGGUUGGUGAGGUAACGGCUCACCAAGGCAACGAUACAUAGGGGGACUGAGAGGUUAACCCCCCACACUGGAACUGAGACACGGUCCAG